rnacentral:rRNA from 1 species
GACAGAGGUGCCGAGCGUUAGGCGGAAUCACUGGGCUUAAAGCGUGUGUAGGCGGGCGGCCAAGUACCUUGUGAAAUCCCACGGCUUAACCGUGGAACUGCUCGGUAUACUGUGGGUCUUGAGCCAGCUAGGGGCUACCGGAACAAGUGGUGGAGCGGUGAAAUGCGUAGAUAUCACUUGGAACGCCAAUGGUGAAAACAGGUAGCUGGGGCUGUGCUGACGCUGAGACACGAAAGCCAGGGGAGCGAACGGG